AGGCAGAGCACACGAUGACCUACCACCCCCGGGAGAUGGAAGGUGUCAACGCCCGCUGGAUGAAGGACAGCCUGUUCUGUUGUGAGCUCUGUGAUCUUGAUCAGGCGGCCCAACAUCUCUGAGCUCAAAUUCCUGCCUCCCAGGGGGGAGCAAGUUGUGAAGAUGAGAUGGCAAGAUGGCAAACAGUGACACAGCUUGACAGAGAGGAUGGAUCCUGGCUCUGACACUGGGGGAACUUUAGGUGCCAGUUUUCUGUGAAGAACUAAACCAUCUGAACAAGAAGUGUUCCAAACCAUCUUCGUGUAACCCCGGGUAAACUGAGGCUCUGAGCGCCAUGGCCCAAGGCCACCCAACAAGUUAGAACACAGUUUGGAGGAGACUUGCAUGUCCAGACUCUGCCCACCAAGCCACUGAGGU